rnacentral:rRNA from 1 species
GAUGAACGCUAGCGGGAGGCUUAACACAUGCAAGUCGAGCGGGAUUAGCAGCAAUGCUAUGAGAGCGGCGCACGGGUGCGUAACGCGUAUGCAACCUGCCUUAUGCCGGGGGAUAGCCCAUGGAAACGUGGAUUAAUACCCCAUAGAACUGGAGAGCCGCAUGGUAAUUUAGUUAAAACUGAGGUGGCAUAAGAUGGGCAUGCGUCUGAUUAGGUAGUUGGUAGGGUAACGGCCUACCAAGCCGACGAUCAGUAGGGGUCCUGAGAGGGUUACCCCCCA